AACACAAACCCCGACGCUGAAUGCGUCAAGGAAUUUAAAAUUUGCUCUGAGCGCCACCUGCAUGCCACCGGAGACGGUUUUCGUGCAGGUUGUGUUCUGACACAUAAUAUAGAAUGACUCUCGGCAACGGAUAUCUAGGCUCUUGCAUCGAUGAAGAACGUAGCGAAAUGCGAUACUUGGUGUGAAUUGCAGAAUCCCGUGAACCAUCGAGUCUUUGAACGCAAGUUGCGCCCGAUGCCACUAGGUUGAGGGCACGUCUGCCUGGGCGUCACAUAUCGAAGCCUCUUGCCAAUUUCCUAUUAAUAGGUAUUUUGCAGGAUGAUGUUGGCCUCCCGUGAGCUCCAUUGUCUCAUGGUUGGUUGAAAAUUGAGACCUUGGUAGGGUGUGUGCCAUGAUAGAUGGUGGAUGUGUUACGCAUGAGACCAAAUAAUCAUGUGCUGCUCUAUCGAAUUUAGCCUCUUUAACCCACAUGCGUUUCUAAACGCUCGUGAUGAGACCUCAGGUCAGGCGGGGCUACCCGCUGAAUUUAAGCAUAUCAAUAAGCGGAGGAAAAGAAACUAACAAGGAUUCC
rnacentral:rRNA from 1 species